GAUGAACGCUAGCUACAGGCUUAACACAUGCAAGUCGAGGGGCAGCGGGAAUCUAGCUUGCUAGAUUUGCCGGCGACCGGCGCACGGGCGAGUAACACGUAUCCAACCUGGCCCAUACUCGGGUAUAGCCUCUCGAAAGGGAGAUUAAUCCCCGAUGUUGUUGGAUUACCGCAUGGUUUUUCAACCAAAGAAUUUCGGUAUGGGAUGGGGAUGCGUUCCAUUAGCUUGUUGGCGGGGUAACGGCCCACCAAGGCAACGAUGGAUAGGGGUUCUGAGAGGAAGGUCCCCCACACUGGAACUGAGACACGGUCCAG
rnacentral:rRNA from 1 species